AUUGGCCCAGGUAAAAGAGAUCUAUUUAUUCCAUGAAUUUCUAAAAAUGAUUUCUUAUUCUUUAUUUUUCAGAAAAAUAUGUUUGAAUCUGACAGGCAACAACAAAAUAUGAACAUUUCCAUAACUGAAGAACAGAGGUUCAACUUGCAGUGAGUCCAUAAGCUGUUUACCUCCCCUCUCCCUGAGCAUCUUGACAAUCAGUCAAUCAACAAACUUUUCUAUGCUAAAGGCUAAGAACAACAACAAAAAAAGAUUUAAAUAUUUCCUUCCUUAAGAGUUUGCAUUCAAAAGUGUGAGAC
rnacentral:lncRNA from 1 species